rnacentral:tRNA from 1 species
GGAGACUUGUCCGAGUGGCUGAAGGAGCACGCUUGGAAAGCGUGUGUAGGGGUAACUCUACCGAGGGUUCGAAUCCCUCAGUCUCCG